GUAUUGUGAAUGAAAGAUGAAAAGAAUACCGAAAGGUAGGUGAAAAGAACUAUAAACCCAAGACCCGUUAUUACCCUAAAUUAUAACUGCUUGUGGAAGAAAGAAUUGUCGAAUUUCAAGUUUAUCCUUCAGGUGUAUCUGAUACUCUACCCUUAAAGCCCGAAUACUGGCGAUCUAACUAUUGCAUUAUGAAAGUUGAGUCUAUUGAAGAUUAAAAUGCUCAGGGGUACACACCUGCCAUCCAAGCAAUAGUUAGCAGUUAAAUGUUAUACGAGCCAAUGUUAAUAUCUGGAUCUGUUCGAAAGAAAUAAUGCUGUCUAAUAGAUGUCUUGUUCUUACUUGUAAAAUGAUCGGCUCAUUAAUUCAUGGAAAUAAGAUUCACCCAAAACUAUCCAUCAUUCGCAAUUUCGUUAAGAUGGGUGUUCACUUAUGUAACAAAUGGGAAAAGCCCAAAUAAGUAGCUAAAGUAAUGACUUAAAUCAAAUUAUUAGUUCACAUAGUCUUAAAUUACUCAAAAGUAGGAUUAAUAGGAUCCAUCUUUUCAAAAGUGUGUAGCAUCUUAUGAGCUAAGUUAUCCUUCGAGUCCACCAGGUAUUCCAAAUAAAGCCUUUACUGAAGCUCUAA
rnacentral:rRNA from 1 species